rnacentral:rRNA from 1 species
CAGCAGCCGCGGUAAAACGAAGGGUGCAAGCGUUACUCGGAAUUACUGGGCGUAAAGCGUGUGUAGGUGGUUGUUUAAGUCUGUCGUGAAAGCCCUGGGCUCAACCUGGGAAUUGCGAUGGAUACUGGGCGACUAGAGUGCGGUAGAGGAUAGUGGAAUUUCCGGUGUAGCAGUGAAAUGCGUAGACAUCGGAAGGAACAUCUGUGGCGAAGGCGACUAUCUGGGCCAACACUGACACUGAGACACGAAAGCGUGGGGAGCAAACAGGAUUAGAUACCCCAGUAGUCCCUGUCCCUUAUAC